UGGGGAAUAUUGCACAAUGGGCGCAAGCCUGAUGCAGCGACGCCGCGUGAGGGAUGGAGGCCUUCGGGUUGUAAACCUCUUUCGCCAGUGAAGCAGGCCAUCUUCUUUGUGGGGUGGUUGACGGUAGCUGGAUAAGAAGCGCCGGCUAACUACGUGCCAGCAGCCGCGGUAAUACGUAGGGCGCGAGCGUUGUCCGGAACUAUUGGGCGUAAAGAGCUCGUAGGCGGCUGGUCGCGUCUGUCGUGAAAUCCCCUGGCUUAACUGGGGGCUUGCGGUGGGUACGGGCCGGCUUGAGUGCGGUAGGGGAGACUGGAAUUCCUGGUGUAGCGGUGGAAUGCGCAGAUAUCAGGAGGAACACCGGUGGCGAAGGCGGGUCUCUGGGCCGUUACUGACGCUGAGGAGCGAAAGCGUGGGGAGCGAACAGG
rnacentral:rRNA from 1 species